AUGUCAUUUUCAAAUUUCUUUUAUUUCAUUGGUGUCCUUCUUAUUGCUGCUCAUUGGCUUAUGGCAUACGGCUGGGCGGGAUGUAACCGGCCUCUGAGCUGCGGCCCUCCACCGCCGCCCAUAAGCUACCAGGAGGAGCUUUACGACUUCCUGGCCUGCAGGGCCGGGCGCACCAAGGGCCAGACGCGGUGCGUGCCAACCGUCUGGCGCCUGGCAGCACGGUCAUCAGAGAAGGAGGAUUCUAUGUACAGAGCAGCUGCCAACUAUUCCAUGUUUCCCAGCUGGAGGAGCCCUGCCCUGCAUCUUCGCAACAGCCCUGAAGCAGACACUCAAGGGAGCACCUACCUGGGGCACCCCCAGCUGAGAGGCGAACCUGGAUUAGGAAAGUUGACAUUAAUCAACUCUUUACUCCUCACAGAUUUGUAUUCUCCAGAGUAUCCAGGUCCUUCUUAUAUAAUUAAAAAGAAUGUACAGGUGGACAAUCCAAAGCUUUAAUCAAAGAACGUGGCGUUCAGGUGCUGCUCACAAUAGUUGAUACCCCAGGAUUUGGAGAUGCACUGGAUAAUAGUAAUUGAUGGCAGCUUGUUAUCGAUUACAUUGAUAGUAAAUGCAGAAUCGUGAAUGAACAGACGUCAGAUGCCUGAUAGCAGGGUGCAGUGUUGUCAAUACUUAAUUGCUCCUUCAGGAUAUGGACUUAAACUAUUGGAUAUUGAGCUUAUGAAGCGUAUGCAUGAAAAAGUGAUUAUCAUCCCACUUAUUGCCAAAGCAGACACACUCACACCAGAAGAAUGCCAACAGUUUAAAAAACAGAUAAUGAAAGAAAUCCAAGAACAUAAAAUUAAAAUAUAUGAAUUUCCAGAAACAGAUGAUGAAGAAGAAAAUAAACUUGUUAAAAAGGUAAAGGACCGUUUGCCUCUUGCUGUGGUAGGUAGUAAUACUAUCAUUGAAGUUAAUGGCAAAAGGGUCAGAGGAAGGUAGUAUCCUUGGGGUGUUGCUGAAGUUGAAAAUGGUGAACAUUGUGAUUUUACAAUUCUAAGAAAUAUGUUGAUAAGAACACACACGCAGAACUUGAAAGAUGUUACUAAUAAUGUCCACUACGAGAGGUGCAGAAGCAGAAAACUGGCAGCUGUGACUUACAAUGGAGUUAAUAACAACAAGAAUAAAGGGCAGCUGACUAAGAGCCCUCUGGCACAAAUGGAAGAAAGAAGGUCUAAAAUGAAGAAGAUAGAGAUGGAGAUGGAGCAGGUGUUUGAGAUGAAGGUCAAAUAAAAAGUUUAAAAACGAAAGGACUCUGAAGCUGAGCUCCAGCGGCGCCAUGAGCAAAUGAAAAAGAAUUUGGAAGCACAGCACAAAGAAUUAGAGGAAAAACGUCGUCAGUUUGAGGAUGAGAAAGCAAACUGGGAAGCUCAACAACGUCUUUCAGAACAACAGAACUCUUUGAGAACCUUGGAAAAGAAUAAGAAAGGGAAGAUCUUUUAAACUAUUGACCCCCAGUUACGUAUUAGUUGCCAAUGUGCCAGCUUGGACAUCAGUGUUUGUUGGAUCCGUUUGACCGAUAUGCACCAGUUUUAUCCAUAAUGAUGGAUUUAACAGAAUGACAAAAAUUAUUUUUUUGUUGUUCUUGAUGGAGAUUAAGAUGCCUUGAAUUGUCUAGGGUGUUGUGUACUUAGAAAGUAACAGCUCUAAGUACCUUUCCUACAUUUUCUUUUUCUUUUUUUUUAUUAAACGGAUAUCUUCAGUUUAAUGCAGGAGAACAUUUUACUGUUGUACCAUAAUGUUCUAGUGGUUUGACUGUUUACAGGAUAUUCCAAAAUAAAAGGACUCUGGA